GACGAACGCUGGCGGCGUGCCUAAUACAUGCAAGUCGAAGGGAGUGGCGAACGGGUGAGUAACACGUGAGUAACCUGCACUUUUCUUUGGGAUAAGCCUGGGAAACUGGGUCUAAUACUGGAUGGAUUGGGAUGGGCUCGCGGCGUAUCAGCUUGUUGGUGGGGUGCUGGCUUACCAAGGCUUUGACGGGUAGCCGGCCUGAGCGGGGGGUCUGGUACACUGGGACGGAGAGACGGCCCAGACUGCUACGGGAGGCAGCAGUGGGGGAUAUUGCACAAUGGACGAAAGUCUGAUGCAGCGACGUCGUGUGGGGGAUGAAGGCCUUCGGGUUGUAAACUCCUUUCGCCCGCGGAAUGGUAGUGAGUAAAGAAGCGCCGGCUAACUACGUGCCAGCAGCCGCGGUAAUUC
rnacentral:rRNA from 1 species